UUUGUAGGGCUGGACCCGAAUAUUCGGGUAUUCGGAUAUUCGUUCGUUGAGUAGGUAUUCGGUUUUUAAUUUUGGUAUUCGGAUAUUCGUUUUUUUUCUCCUUUCCAGAGUUCCACCUCAGUCUAACCACUUCUGUUCUCGCGGGUCCCGUCAGAAUAUCUUGCGCGCGGGACAGAACUGAACUGUUAUUGGCUGGAGCGGGAGUUUAAUCCAGACGAUGCGGGAGCAAAUUAAUAAAUAGUUAAGAAAACUGUAAUAAUUGUAAAAAAAAAAAAACCUAAAGAAAACUCUCAACGCGCAGGAUGGACCGACACACACACGCACACACCGAUGGUGUUUGGACUGGGGUAAGGAACGGGACCACACUAUUCAGCGCUGCUGUUUUAAUAAAUAUAUAAGUAAAUUUGAAGCAUUAAAUGUAGUUUAUUUAAUUUAUAUUAGGAACGUGGGGCGGGAGCGGCAGAAAUGUGUAUGUGGCGGGCGGGCGCGGGAUUAAAAGAAGCAAUUUUUUUGCGGAGCGGUAACGAGACAGA